GCUGGUGAUGAUGUUUCAUAUCUUUGCCUACAUUGCCUGAUCAAAGCUAUUUUUGGCUUUGAACAAGUGAGUGAAUGAUAAACUUCUGAAG